GACACUUUGGCCGAGUUGGUUAAGGCGAUAGAUUCGAAAUCUAUUGGGGUUCCCCCGCGUCGGUUCGAGUCCGGCAGGUGUCG